ACCCUCCUGAGCAUCAACGUAUUCAUCUUCAGGCUGCUCUCCACUAGAGUGAAUCCACUGAUCGGUGCCGACACGGUGCCGUUACGACCGGCCGCACCUGUGUUUGAUAUCCGAAGGCAUCAACAGUCAAACAAAAAGAAUUAGACUUUCACCAAUCUCUAUUUGGAGAUAAGAAGAAACUCGACGGGCGUUCGCUGGAUCCCAUUGCAAGAAAUACCGGGCGACGUACGGUAUUAAUUAUUAUGAACGUCCGUGUCCGCCGGUACCGACAUCGCAUUCUUUCCCGUUUAUUUUUCUCUUUUGUCUUGCAUUUUCCCCUCCUAACAUCCAUUUACUGCGUGCUCGUCCCAGUUCCAACAUCGUGGAAAGAAAAUGAAUAGUUCCGUGUG